rnacentral:sRNA from 1 species
GGGACCCGAAGCACGCAGACCUCUCCGGCUUUACGUUCACCUCGGUGUCUGCAGCACCCUCAGCUUCCUCUCCUAGGCGACGAGACCCAGCGGCUAGAAAUUCACCAUGUCUAUUCUCAAGAUCCAUGCCAGGGAGAUCUUUGACUCUCGUGGGAAUCCCACUGUUGAGGUUGAUCUCUUCACCUCAAAAGGUCUCUUCAGAGCUGCUGUGCCCAGUGGUGCUUCAACUGGUAUCUAUGAGGCCCUAGAGCUCCGGGACAAUGAUAAGACUCGCUAUAUGGGGAAGGGUAAGCCUUAGAACCCACAGCCGGUGGCCUCCCUGCCUUGCCCAGUCCUGUCCUCCUCUGGGUGGCGCUUGCAUUUGCAGGUUUCUGGCAGGUAAACCUGGAACUCAUGAUGUGGAAGCAGCGCACCAGCGCCGUGUGAACAGGAAGGCUGGUGUGGAUUCCGGGUUCCUGAGCCCGCAUGCUCUGGGUCGACAGUUCCGAUGCUUGUUUCUAUUGCAGUUUAUCCCCAGUCUGCGAAAUACUCCUUCAUGGUUAGGACAGGAACCCAAGGAUGAGAACAGGGGCUGUUAACUAAAGAAAAGUUUCCCCAUCUCCCAGGAGGGUUCUGUGGGCCCUCCAGAGAUCAUCAGCCUCUGCAGGGGCUAGAAAGGAUCCAGGGAAGGUCUAACCAAUGACCUACUCUGAAGGGUGAGCUACAGAUGUGUCAUUUAGUCUGAUUUUCCUGUUGACUGACUCACAGGAGCCCUGCCCUGUGGCAGAGCCAGCCUCUGGCUGUAUUCACAUUGACUUAGUG